rnacentral:lncRNA from 1 species
AUGGAGCCUCAGGGUGCCAGGGACCCCAGUUUGAAUAUCACUCUGAAGGCCUCAAGCUCCUUGGGACUAAUUCAGAUGCAGGAAACAGAGCUGCCAGCAGGAAGCCUGACUCUCCAGCUACCAAGAGGCCUCAUGCAGGCCUCUGCAGAGCGUGUCUCCUUGGCAAUGGGCGCCUUCCUGGUCCUCCGCCCUGCUCUAGAGGAUGGAAGAUGGAGGCUGUCACAGGCUCCUGCCCCCUCCAGCCAGGGAGAGCAGCCACACAUGGCCAUCUGCCACCCGCCCCCCAAGCUCUAUGGGGUCCCUGCCAUGGAAGAAGUUGCCAAGAACCCCCAGAGCCCAGUGAGAAGCCAGAUGGAGCCCCAGCAAGUUCUGCUCAGGAGGAGAGAUUGCUCCCUUGACUGCUUCGCAGCCAGAGGAGACCGUCGGCUCUUGGCAAAAAAUAAGGCAAGUGUGAAAACAACUUUUUAUGCCAACUGGAGCCCCCACUUCCAGGGCAGGUCUUCCCCGGAGGCCACCCGUUCACUGCAAUUCCUCAGCCUGGCUUGAAAUCAUAGCCCUCCCAGCAAGAACUGUUACAGAUGGAGCUGGACCCCAGAGCCAGGUUGGGGGGCUUUCCAAAUGAGGGGAGGGAGGUGAAGGUGUUGAAGCAAUCCAGGCCAUCUAUAGCGUUGCUGGAUGGAUUGGCUAGGAAAUCUAGAUCAGACCCACCAAGACCCUGACAACCAGCAUGUCCUGGUGAUGGCUGGAAGGAAAGUCAGAGGAUUUUUUUGGGAUUAUUGAGAGUAUUUGGGUCUCAAAUCUGUCAGGAUAGGCUAGGUUUUGCUGCAGUAACAAACAACCCCAAAAUCUUCGUGAUUAAUAGGAACAAAGGUUUCUUUCUUGCUCAUGGCACAUGCCCAUGAUGGGUUGGCAGGUGGCCUGACCAUUGUUGUCUCUCCAGGACCAGGUUGAUGGGGCAGCCACCAUUUUGGACUUUGCCGGCUUUUUUUUUCAGAGGAAAGGUGACAUCUCCAGCAUUCUGAUGCUCCAGGCUGGAAGUGUCACAAGCCACUUUCGAUUAUUGGCCAGAACUGGCCCCACGUCCCCUGCCCAAACAUUUGGGGACUAAGAGGGCAGCCCCGCUGGGUGUCCAAUCACUAGGCCAGUCACCAGCACUUCUGACACCGUCAGUCUGCUCCAGACCACAUUCAAUCAGGAAAACCCCUCCUCACCUGCCUGGUCCCUCCUGCCACCACAAAACCACACGAUGGCCACACCAGGACAUGUUUAUGGAGCUCAAGGCCAAGCCUGCUCCAAGCCCCCUGGCUGGGCCACUGUUGUGAACUGCGUGUUCCAGACAUUCACUUUUGAGCUUCUGAGAAUGGACUCAGACCUCCAGGGAUUAAUGUACUUUCUUAUUCUUAAAAAAAGUGUGUGUGUGUGUGUGUGUGUGUGUAUACAUAUAUACACACACAUAUAUACACAUACACAGAUAGAUAGAUAUGUACACAUAUAUAAAAAUUAUACAUUGUAGACAUCACUCAUUCAUAGGGUCACCAGGAGUUGG